rnacentral:rRNA from 1 species
GACGAACGCUGGCGGCGUGCCUAAUACAUGCAAGUAGAACGCACAGUUUAUACCGUAGCUUGCUACACCAUAGGCUGUGAGUUGCGAACGGGUGAGUAACGCGUAGGUAACCUGCCUGGUAGCGGGGGAUAACUAUUGGAAACGAUAGCUAAUACCGCAUAAUAUUAAUUAUUGCAUGAUAAUUGAUUGAAAGAUGCAACUGCAUCACUACCAGAUGGACCUGCGUUGUAUUAGCUAGUAGGUGAGGUAACGGCUCACCUAGGCGACGAUACAUAGCCGACCUGAGAGGGUGAUCGGCCACACUGGGACUGAGACACGGCCCAGACUCCUACGGGAGGCAGCAGUAGGGAAUCUUCGGCAAUGGACGAAAGUCUGACCGAGCAACGCCGCGUGAGUGAAGAAGGUUUUCGGAUCGUAAAGCUCUGUUGUAAGAGAAGAACGGGUGUGAGAGUGGAAAGUUCACACUGUGACGGUAUCUUACCAGAAAGGGACGGCUAACUACGUG